rnacentral:pre_miRNA from 15 species
GGUCUUGAAAUAGUUUUCAAGACCAUUCAUGACUUGCGUGACAAGAUUUUUGGUGCCACCAUUAAGAACGCCAAGAUUGUCCUGUAGAUCAAGAAUCCCCAUCUGGCUGUAGAGA